AUGUUUUGCAAACAUUUUCUCCUGUGCUCAGGGUGUGUUUACACUUUCUUGAUGAUGUCCUUUGAAGCACAAAAAAUUUUAAUUUUGAUGAAGUCCACUUUACCUAUUUUUUCUUUUGUUGCCUGUGCUUUUUAUCUAGUGCCUGCCUGUCUUCAUCUUGCUCAAAUGUUACUUCCUCAGGAAGCUCCCAUUCCUUUGGUGUAUGCUCUCACAACCAUCUUUGUUACUACAGAUUUGUUGUUUCUCAGCCUGUCAUCAGCUUCAACUGCUGCAUCUCAAUUUCAGCUCCACAGGAGAGUGAAUCUGAUAAUGAUUCAGUUCAGACAUGGUUGAUUCUCUUGGGCAAAGCUCUUGUGCCAGACUACAUCAUAGUCAUCCAUUCAUUUGUUUAUUUAACAACUAUGCAUAGGCCACUAGCCAGCCUCUAGAUUGUCUCUCUAUAAGGUAGGUGCCCAAUCGUGAUCUAAUAGCUAUGUUUGUGUGGAGUGGAGGACAAGGUCAUAGAGUGGUGAGAGGAUGGGAAUCUAUUUUUUUAUGUUUAUUCAUUUUGAGAGAGAGAGAGAAUGAGCAGGGGAGAGGGAGAGAGACAGAAUCCCAGGCAGGCUUCAAGCUGCCAGGGCAGAGCCAAAUGCGGGGCUCGAACCCACUAAACAUGAGAUCAUGACCUGAGCCGAAAUGAAGAGUUGGAUGCUUAACCAACUGAGCCACCCAGGCACCCCAGGAUGGAGAUGCAUAUUUCAGAAACUGGGGGCUAUGGACAUACCAUGCAUUCUACCCCAUGGCCAGUUCAGGGGGAUAAUAAUUUGUUUCAGCAAGGCGUUUGACAGAUAUAGUUGAAAACAAUUCAAAAUUAACAAUCCUGGUAUUGAGAGAGUGAUAUUUUGUAUUACUUGUCAGCAAGAGUAUCUUUUGUUUGAGAUGGGAGUAUUGAAGGUGAUAGUUAACUUGGGGGGGGGCAGAGGGAGGGGGAGAAGAGUUUAUUUUAACAUGAGAACUAAAGAGUGAUUCUUUUCUGCUGUGAUGUGUGGUUGUAGGAGCAACUACGAGAAGGUGAAGAUUCCAGAGGAAAUUCUAUCCCCUAAAGCCAUGAUAUCGAUAAUUUUGGUCUGGAAGAUAUUCUGAGGAAAGAAGCUUAGAAAUGUUUGAUUUUUGAGCAUGAAUUAAUGUAUAGUUCAUAAAUUAAAUAAACGGAUUCACUAAGUAAUUGUUGAGAGUAUC
rnacentral:lncRNA from 1 species